ACCUGCUGGCCCCUACCGGCCCCUACAUCAACCUACUGGCCCCUACCGGUCUCUACUUCAACCUGCUGGCCCCUACCGGUCUCUACAUCAACCUGCUGGCCCCUACCGGCCCCUACAUCAACCUGCUGGCCCCUACCGGCCCCUACAUCAACCUACUGGCCCCGUCCGGCCUCUACACCUACUGGCCCCUACCGGUCUCUACAUCAACCUACUGGCUCCUACAUACCUGCUGGCCCCUACCGGCCCCUACAUCAACCUACUGGCCCCUGUCUGCCCCUACAUCAACCUACUGGCCCCCUACCGGCCCCUACACCUACUGGCCCCUACCGGUCUCUACACAGCUACCACCUACCUACCCUACACAGCUACCACCUACCUACCUACCCUACACAGCUACCACCUAAUUACCCUACACAGCUACCACCUACCUACCCUACACAGCUACCACCUCCACCUACCUACUCUACACAGCUACCACCUACCUACUCUACACAGCUACAACCUACCACCUACCUAUCUUACAUAGCUACCACCUGGGCCCUACCGGCCUCAAAAUGCCUCUAUACCUACCUGACCCAAGCCCUCCACAUAUCUUAACCACUCUACCAGGCCCUACUUCUCCACUUCACACUACUUCUCCACUUCACACUGCAACCUUUCAACUUUCACCAGCGCCACUUCAGUCCCACACCUAGUGACCCCCUCCAGCCCAGAAUAGGCCCCCUGUGACGCAUGCUUGCCUUCCGCGUGUCCUCCUCUUCCUCCCUCCUGUCAUGUCCUCCUCUUCCUCUCUCCUGGUGUGUCCUCCUCUUCCUCUCUCCUGGAGUGUCCUCCUCUUCCUCAAUCCUGUCAUGUCCUCCUCUUCCUCUCUCCUGGCGUGUCCUCCUCUUCCUCUCUCCUGGCGUGUCCUCCUCUUCCUCUCUCCUGGCGUGUCCUCCUCUUCCUCUCUCCUGGCGUGUCCUCCUCUUCCUCUCUCCUGGCGUGUCCUCCCCAACCUACCACUAGAGAGAAGAAAAUAAGCUUAAAGAAAAUAAACUGAGCAGUGACACCGUGUUGACACCGGGUUGACACCGUGUUGACACCGGGUUGACACCAUGUUGACACCGGGUUGACACCGUGUUGACAUACGGCCACAAUUCGUCUUAAUUAUGAACAGUUUUAUUUUUUUUUGUUCUGAUGUAGUGGAGUGGAGAAGAGUGAAUAAUUUACGGCGGUGCAGCUGCUUGCUGUGGUUACUGUGAAUUGGCUGCGGCUUUCUGAAGCCAUCAUAGUGUUUUAUGGCCCCGUCUAUCUGUCUGUCUGUGCCGCCCUCCCUCCUGGCCAGGAGUCUGACACUAACGACUAACGCCGAAGCCUGGAGUUGCCUGGACUGACCGGGUCACAGAGCUCAGCUACACUACAAGUCGCACCAAACCCCCCGACUGAGGGCGACAACAAACUCUCCAUCGAAAUCUCUCGUUCUUUCUGAUUCUCUCUCUUUUUCUCUCUCUCUCUCUCUCUCUCUCUCUCUCUCUCUCUCUCUCCCCUCUCUCUCUCUCUCUCUUUCUCUUUCUCUCUCUCUCUCCGUGGUAUAUAGAGACAGAGGGGCCCUUGUUGUUCUAACUUGUCUGGAUUGGCCUCAUUCUGGGAGUCCUGUCUGGCUUGGCCUCAGCCUGGGAGUCCUGUCUGGCUUGGCCUCAGCCUGAGAGUCCUGUGCUUCUUAUUAUUUAUGAACUGAGACUUUGUGAGUCUAUACCACACCAAGAUGAACAAGGAGGAAGACCAUCCACACUAUACCACACCAAGAUGAACGAGGAGGAAGACCAUCCACACUAUACCACACCAAGACGAACGGGGAGGAAGACCAUCCACACAAUACCACACCAAGAUGAACGAGGAGGAAGACCAUCCACACUAUACCACACCAAGAUGAACGAGGAGGAAGACCAUCCACACUAUACCACACCAAGACGAACGAGGAGGAAGACCAUCCACACUAUACCACACCAAGACGAAGGAGGAGGAAGACCAUCCACACUAUACCACACCAAGACGAACGAGGAGGAAGACCAUCCACACUAUACCACACCAAGACGAACGAGGAGGAAGACCAUCCACACUAUACCACACCAAGACGAACGAGGAGGAGGACCAUCCACACUAUACCACACCAAGACGAACGAGGAGGAAGACCAUCCACACUAUACCACACCAAGACGAACGAGGAGGAAGACCAUCCACACUAUACCACACCAAGACGAAGGAGGAGGAAGACCAUCCACACUAUACCACACCAAGACGAACGAGGAGGAAGACCAUCCACACUAUACCACACCAAGACGAACGAGGAGGAAGACCAUCCACACUAUACCACACCAAGACGAACGAGGAGGAAGACAGACGAUGAUGUUUAUGGAAGAGCUAAAAUAAACAACAAAAAAAAGGGAUUUUCCAAUCAUUUAAAAAGAGUUAAGAAACUUAAUGUACAAUGAUUCCCGAGACAAUCGUGUCCAGAGGAAGUCUUUUUAACUUUUUUGACAAUCCCUUCCUAUAUAAUAAUCGUUUAUUACAGUCGGUACAAAGGUGAUGAUGUUUUCAUUGAAGUCAAAAGGCUGAUCGAGCAACGAUGAUGGUGACGAUGUGUUGAGCUUGUUUUUGAACCAAUAAAACUAACAAACAAACAUAUAGAUGAAAAUGAGAUUUUGUGAUAUAUAACUUGUUUUGUUCAAGACCAAAAGCAUGGAUGUCAAGUGUCAAUGAUCAUUGUGUUCAGUCAGUGAUGUUUCUUCCUCGUACUCUCUCUCUCUCUCUCUCUCUUUCUCUAUUUACACUCAGUAUAGUAUGAAAUAGUGUUAUUUCAGUCACAAUUCAACACAGCGGUUUCCCUCUGAAUCAAGGCCUGGGAUUUAAUCUGCAGCCGUGCGAUUGUCGAAUUCGAUCUCACGAAUGAGGUAGCAUUGGCUUUAAAAGCCGCAUUGUCUACAAGCGCGAUCAAAUUGAAUCCCAGUCCAACACUGUGUAGAUCCAUGUUUCAUUGGGGUAUUUUUAUAUUUUAUUUUAUUUUAAUGUUCACUUACUUGGAAAAGUUGUUCAGAACUUGUUGUGUGGGCAUUUCACUAGCUUGCAGCACAAACCAACCGUGUGUAUUUUAAAGCUAAUGUAAUUGACAUGAUAAUACCAUUGCAUCUUGGGAUAGAGAUGUCUGAUCUGGACUGAGUUGGUAGGUUUUUUAUUUUUAAAUGUUACCCCUCGGUCAGUUCCCAGACUCCGAGCCGUAUAGAGUACCAUUUUAAUGAAUUUAGGAAAAGUUCAGCUUUCAGGAAUGAAAAAGAAAAAAACAAGCUUUUAAAUAGUUUUUAUUAUCUUUUCUACGAGCGCUAUCACAACAACUAUUGUACAGCGUACAUUUUUGUAUGAAGUAGUGUUUUUAUUUAGAAUUUUGAAAAAAUGAUUGUGUUCUUCUUGUGUCCCACCUUUUGAAUUUCUGUAGUUGAAAAUGAAAUUCAUAUGAUGCCCUUUUUUCUGAUAGUGCUUGUUAUGAUAGGACUGUGGACUGAAGUGGUGGGAUGGAUAGGGGAUAACUGUACUGAGGUCUUGUUAUGAUAGGACUGUGGACUGAAGUGGUGGGAUGGAUAGGGGAUAACUGUACUGAGGUCUUGUUAUGAUUGGACUGUGGACUGAAGUGGUGGGAUAGAUAGGGGAUAACUGUACUGAGGUCUUGUUAUGAUAGGACUGUGGACUGAAGUGGUGGGAUGGAUAGGGAUAACUGUACUGAGGUCUUGUUAUGAUAGGACUGUGGACUGAAGUGGUGGGAUGGAUAGGGGAUAACUGUACUGAGGUCUUGUUAUGAUAGGACUGUGGACUGAAGUGGUGGGAUAGAUAGGGGAUAACUGUACUGAGGUCUUGUUAUGAUAGGACUGAAGUGGUGGGAUGGAUAGGGGAUAACUGUACUGAGAGAUAAAAGAAGAAGAAAAAGCCACUACUUCCCCCGAAGACAAAGGGGUUAUUAAGAACAUACAUACAUGUGCUAUCAACUGUGAAUUUCUUAAGACAGGAACUGCUUCUAGGUCCGUUUCUAUGUCCCCCCCCCUCCCCAACUCCCUCUGCACAUGCUCACUGUUGCUAUGCUGGUGUCGUUGCGGUGAUGACCGAUCUCUUUUCCCCCUGGCAACGGCAGCAAAACGACAUACUUCUCUCUCUCUCUACAUUUGUGAUUUCUCUCUCUCUCUCUCUAAAAGCAACUUCUCCCCCAUAGCUCUUUCAGGGGGACUACAUAUUGCUGCUAGAUUAAGGUAUCAGAUAGGUAGAUAGACAACGGAAAAAUGUUUUUAUAGAAUUCAUACGUACAGCAAAAGACUUGUUUUUAUUUUUAUUAUGUUGCAAUUAUAAAUGCAAAACUGGAAAUACUUUCACUAAUAACAUGGGCCUCGUGGAGGAAAAAACACAAAAGGUUUGUUGUGUCUGCAAAAAAAAAAGAUGUGUACAGAUGUUUUUUGACAUUAUUAUUUGAUUGUGUUUAAAUUAAUAAAAAAUGGAUUUGUGAACUGUUACUCCCGGGAGUUUCCUCUUUUAUGGUGAUUGAAACGGUGUCCUGAAAAUCUCCUCGGACUAAAUUAUGAUUCAUCGACUAGACGCCUAUUUAUAUUUGACAGAGGGUAUAGUCAAGAAAAUAAUUGCAUUUCCAUGUGUGCUUUGGCGUUUGGAUCCAGAGUUAUCCACAAUUCCUUGUAGGAACAAAUGUACAGUAACAACAAUACC
ensembl:lncRNA